CAUGCAAGUCGAGCGGGAACCACCUUCGGGUGGUGGAGAGCGGCGAACGGGUGAGUAACACGUGGGCAACCUGCCCCUAGCUCUGGGAUAACCCCGGGAAACCGGGGCUAAUACCGGAUAUGACUCCGAGCGGCAUCGCUCGGAGUGGAAAGGGUUUACUGGCUAGGGAUGGGCCCGCGGCCUAUCAGCUUGUUGGUGGGGUAAAGGCCUACCAAGGCGACGACGGGUAGCCGGCCUGAGAGGGCGACCGGCCACACUGGGACUGAGACACGGCCCAGACUCCUACGGGAGGCAGCAGUGGGGAAUAUUGCGCAAUGGGCGAAAGCCUGACGCAGCGACGCCGCGUGAGGGACGAAGGCCUUCGGGUCGUAAACCUCUUUCAGCAGGGACGAAGCGAAAGUGACGGUACCUGCAGAAGAAGCACCGGCUAACUACGUGCCAGCAGCCGCGGUAAUACGUAGGGUGCAAGCGUUGUCCGGAAUUAUUGGGCGUAAAGAGCUCGUAGGCGGUUUGUCACGUCUGCUGUGAAACCUCGGGGCUCAACCCCGAGCCUGCAGUGGAUACGGGCAAGCCAGAGUGCGGUAGGGGAGACUGGAAUUCCUGGUGUA
rnacentral:rRNA from 1 species